rnacentral:lncRNA from 1 species
GCACUGGGCACAGAGACUAGGAAGGGACUGAUGUGUAAAAGAAUGCCUGGACGUCAGGCACCUCAGACCGUUUGCCUAUUUUACAACAAGAAUUAUUUAGAUCUUGCAGGAUGGAAAAAUUCAAAGUGCCAUUUUCUGGCUAUUUGGAACUACUGUCGGUUUGUAUUGGGGUCAAGCGGCAUUGCAGAAGAAAAUAAGUCAUUUAGAUUUUAGGUCAGGUGUGAGUUGAAGAGGUUUUAAGUUUUUGAGAACACAGGCUAAGGGAGAAGAAGGAGGAAUGGAAGGUGGAAGCUUGCCCAUAGUGAAGGAGGCAAGCCCAGAGAAAAGAGUAGAGACAUGGAGAAGGGGUGGGGGGGUUCUUGCCCUCCAGAAAAGCAGAGAAGGGGUUGGGGCACGGAAAUAAGGGAUUAGGGCACAGAGAUAAGAGGUCAGGGUGCAGAAAUAAGCGAUUGGGGGUUUUUUGCCCCCUAGGAAAGCGGGACUUGCCGCUAAGGGUGAAGGAGAAGGGGUUGAGGGGUACUUGCCCCUGCCCCAGGAAAGCGGGACUUGCCACUAAGGAUGAAGGAGAAGGGGUUGAGGGGUACUUGCCCCUCCCCCAGAAGAGCAGAGAAGGGGUAGAGACAAGGAGAGAAGGGGUUGGGGUACUUGCCCCUUCCCCAGAAAAGCGGGACUUGCCGCUAAGGGUGAAGGACCAAGGCAGGCGUCCCUGCGUGGUCUGACACCCUUGAAACGUGAGUGAAUAAUCAGAGAGGUGUCCCUGCAAUGAUUAAACACCAAGGGAAGGCUGCCUUCCCAGUCUGUGGCCAGCGCCGGAGUUUUGGGUCCACGGAUAAAACGUGUCUCCUUUGUCUCUACCAGAAAAUGAAAGGAAUUGAAAUUAAGAGAAGGGAGAGAUUGAAGUGUGGUGCCAAGAUUGAAAGGAGAAAGAGGUUGAGGGAUAGUGAGGGAGGUUGGAGAAGAGAGUAAAAAGAGGCCGCUUACCGGAUUUGAAAUUGGUGAGAUGUUUCUUGGGCUGGUCGGUCUGAGGACCUAAGGUCAUAGGUGGAUUUUUCUCAUGGAGCAAAGAGCAGGAGGAUGGGGGAUUGAUCUCCCAAGGGAGGUCCCCCGAUCCGAGUCACGGCACCAAAUUUCAUGCGCGUCCGUGUGAAGAGACCACCAAACAGGCUUUGUGUGAGCAACAUGGCUGUUUAUUUCACCUGGGUGCAGGUGGGCUGAGUCCGAAAAGAGAGUCAGCCAAGGGAGAUAGGGGUGGGGCUGUUUUAUAGGAUUUGGGAAGGUAAUGGAAAAUUACAGUCAAAGGGGGUUGUUCUCUGGUGGGCAGGGGUGGGGGUCACAAGGUGCUCAGUGGGGGAGCUUCUGAGCCAGGAUGAGCCAGGAAAAGGACUUUCACAAGGUAGUGUCAUCACUUAAGGCAAGGACCGGCCAUUUAUACUUCUUUUGUGGUGGAAUGUCAUCAGUUAAGGUGGGGCAGGGCAUAUUCACUUCUUUUGUGAUUCUUCAGUUACUUCAGGCCAUCUGGGCAGAUACCUGCAAGUCACAGGGGAUGCGAUGGCUUGGCUUGGGCUCAGAGGCCUGACAAAUUUAAGCAUGGUUAAUAAUCCCGAUUCAAUCGACGUACAUAGAACACUGCAUGAAAAACAGCAGAACACAUUCUUUUCAAGCAUAUGGAAAAUUUGCCAAAAUUGACCAUACAUUGGUACACAAAGUGAGUCUCAACAAAUUUCAAAAGACUAAAAUCAUACACAGUAUAUUCUUGGAUCUUGAGAGAUUUAAGGUAAAAAUCAAUAAAAAUCAUAAUCAAAUGCCCAAAUGCAUAGAAGUUAUGAAUCAUACUUCUAAAUAAUCCAUAUAGUCAAGGAGGAAAUCACAAUAAUAUUAUAAAAUAUUUUGAACUAAAUGAUAAUUAGAACACACUUCAAAAUUUGGUUGCGGCUGAAGUGUGGUUUAGGUGAAGUAUGCCUUAGUACAUAAAUUAGAAAAAAAUAGUAAAAAUAAAUUAUUAGAUGGUAUUAAGUACUAUCUAAAGAAAUUUUUAAAUAACAACUUAAAUCCAAAGAACAUAUGAGAAAGGGAAUAAUACAGGUAAAACCAGAAAUUAAAAAUAUAGAAACCAUAUAACACAGAAGAUAAAGUCAAAGCUGGUUCUUUGAAAAGACUGACAAAAUUAAUUAACUUCUGCUGUGAGUGUUGGCUGCUUCUCCUUAUUCUUAGAUGACAGAAGCCAUCACUCCUAAGAGGUUACGCCAUCCUCCCGCCCCUCCUCCACUGCCUACCUUAGCGGAGGGCAGAAACAACAGGCCCUUUGCUUCAAAGCUUAGCACCCCGCCUGAAUCAGGCCAAAGCUAGACUUUGCCUGAGGUCACGUCCUUGUUCUGCUCUUCCCCCUUUCCAGUGCUACUACCCUCAUUCCCUUUUGGAUUUUUUCCUGAAGAACAUUUCCUCAAUAAAUCAAACACACCAAAUCUCUGUCUCAGGCUUUGCUUCUAGGAGAAUAUGACCUAAAACUGAAACUAAACAAAACCUAAAUGAGAAAUAAAUGUAAAAUUAAAUAAAUAAAUAAUAAAUAAAACACAAUACUCAUGAAUUUGAAGACUCAAUGUUAGAAAGAUACCAAGUCCCCCAAAUUUAUCUCAAGUCCCCCAAAUAGAUCCAAUGCAAUCCCAGAGUCCCAGCAAGUUUUCUGUAGAACAUGACAAGUGUAUUUCAAAAUGUAUACCGAAAUGCAAAGCGUUAAGAAUAGCCAAGACAAUCCUGAAUAAGAAGACAAAGCUGAGGAACUUAUACAACCAGAUAUCAAGACAUAUUAUAAAGCUAUAGUAAUUAAAAGACCAUAGUAUAUUAAGAUUGACAGAUAGACAAUGGAGAGAAAUGAGAACCUACCACCAGACCUCUCUCUAUAUGUAUAGACACUGAUAUAUGCAAACAUUAGCACUGCAUAGUGGUGGGGAAGGUCCAUUUAAUAAAUGACUCUAGACCAAUUAGACACUCAUGUGGACCCCUGCCUCCAUACAAAAAUCUAAACCUGUGGAUUAUAACUUUACAUGUAAAAGGUAAAAUAGAGUUUCCAGAAGACAACAUAGAAGAGUAUCUUGAUAAUCUUUGGGUAAGCAGAGUUUUAUUAUAAAUGACAUAAAAGUUACCAUAAAGAAAAAUAUUGGUAAAUUGGUCCACAUUAAAUUUAGAAAUCUCUCUUUAUCAGCGUGAGCCACCACAUCGGCCAAGGAGGACUCUUUCAAGGUGAUUUUAACUUGUUCCUUCAUAUUUAUUUUUAACUGCAGAAUCUGAAAAAACAGCUCUUGUUUUAUAUUAAAGGGAGAUCAAAAAGAAAGCCUGUUGCACUGCCAGAAACCAUCUAAAGUUGGGAUGCUUUUGGUGUCUAUAUGUUCAAA